GCGUCGUCGUUGGAAUGGCUGCUGUUUGUUCGGAGUGGCGUGACGUCACGGCCAUGGUCAGGCGGCAGCGUCAUCGAAAGAGGCCUCCUGUUCCUUCCCUUUGGCAGGAAAUUGUCAAUGUUGGUGGCGAGGCAGCCUCUUGAGGGGCAGCUCUGUCUGGUGAUUGGCAGUGGCUGGCCUCUGGAUCGACGAUUGGGCGCAUCAGUAGGCGCCGCCCGAUCGCAUGCUUUCGCGUGCGCUGGCAAUUUGGGCCCUUCAUAUUUCGCCCAGGCCAUCCAGCAUCUCAAAUGGAUCGUGAUCGGUCCAUUCGUCGUCGUCGCCAUCGUCUAAUUCAGUCGCGUCGCAGUCAAUGUCGGACUCUGAAUCCGAUAUGGCUGCUGCUGUAUUGGCGGCGACUGAUGGUAUUGCCAGAGGGACAGGAACUGCUGCUGCUGUUGGUUGGAGUGGGGGCAUGGCUGUUGUGCCCUUGCCAUUUGCUGCAGCCAAUUUGAUUUUGAGCGCAGCUGCCAUCACACUGGACGUCUGGCCGCUGCUGCUGCUGGUGUUGGCGUGGCGUCGGGGCAUCAUUCGCGAUCGGUUGCAUCGGCUGGACCCUCU